rnacentral:lncRNA from 1 species
CACCAUGCCUGGAUAAUUUUUGUAUUUUUAGUACAGACGGGAUUUCACCAUGUCGGCCAGGCUGGUUUUGAACUUCUGACCAGGUGAUCCACUCUCCUCAGCUUCCCGAAGUGCUGGGAUUACAGGCAUGAGCCACCGAGCCCAGCCUGCUGUUGCUCUGUUUUACGAUGGCUAUGUCCUGGGAAUAUGAGCAUCUCUCUGCUUGAAAUCUCAGCCUGAAAGCCUUCUGCAGUUUAGGAGGAAAAUUCCUUUGAUGAUUCUUUUAUUUUUUUUAACUCUUAUUUUGAAAAAUGCUAAACAUAUGCAAAAGUAGAGAAUGUAUCUGACUUCCCUGUAUAAUCACCAGUUUCAACAACCAUUAGAACGUCACUAUCCUUAUUUUUAACCUAUCUCUCCUCCCCAUGAUUUUUAUCUUUCCUAAACAAUUUUAAAACAAAUAUUUGACAUCAUGUCAUUUUACUUCUCAAUAUUUCAGUGUGGAACUUAAAACAAAAGUCAUCCUUUGAUGAUUCUUUUAUUUUUUUAACUCUUAUUUUGAAAAAUGCUAAACAUAUGCAAAAGUAGAGAGUGUGUCUGACUUCCCUGUAUAAUCACCAGUUUCAACGACCAUCAGAACGUCACUAUCCUUAUUUUUAACCUAUCUCUCCUCCCCAUGAUUUUUAUCUUUCCUAAACAAUUUCAAAACAAAUAUUUGACAUCAUGUCAUUCUACUUCUCAAUAUUUCAGUGUGGAACUUAAAACAGAAGGAGGGACUGAAAUAUGGGCCGUGUUCAGUGAUAUGCUCCCAAAACCUAGAAGUUGGAAAUGGGAAGUCACUUUACAAUGGAGAAGCCUAGUAAACAGCAAAGACUGCGUUGGCCAAGUGAUCAAGAUUAACCUCAACAGUGGUUGA